GCGAAGGGCGUGGCUUUAGCAGCAGUCUCUCUGUACCUGAGUCUGAGAGCUGGACUUUGACUGGGAACUUUGAGGAAAUGGGAAAAAACUAGAACACAACUUCGCAAGGGCAAGUCUGCGCAGGUACAGUUCUGUGCACGCGCAUUCCAGUGUCUUCAAAGAGCGCGUGUGUCCACUAUCCACGAAAACCUGCUAUCGAGGAUAACUGCAAGGCACACUUUAUUUGGCCUGUUUUGGAUGAGAUGAUUGUGUAAUGGUGUGUGGAUAUCUUUGAG